AGGAUUGACAUUCUUAAAUAUCUCUCUUAUCCACAGAAAAGAUAAAGCAUAUAGUCAGAAAAUUAUGCAGGUUUCCUCAGAUUUUCAGAUCAGUCUGCAUUCCUUGGACCUGUAGAGACAUCUGUAAGGGAAGAAAAAGUUACUUUGUCACCAUUCUCAUUCCAUCCUUGGCCUUC
rnacentral:sRNA from 1 species